CUCCGAGAACUGAAAGGCUUUUUGAAGUCUUCGGAUGGAUAGAAGAACCCCUGAUGCCGUCGAGCCAAGAAAAGUUUCUAAGUUUAGCUAAUGUUGCCCGUACCGUAAACCGACACAGGUGGGUGGGAUGAGUAUUCUAAGGCGCGUGGAAGAACUCUCUUUAAGGAACUCUGCAAAAUAGCACCGUAUCUUCGGUAUAAGGUGUGGUUAGCUUUGUAUUAGGAUUUACUCCGAAAGCAAGGAAACUUACAACAAAGAGUCCCUCCCGACUGUUUACCAAAAACACAGCACUCUGCUAACUCGUAAGAGGAUGUAUAGGGUGUGACGCCUGCCCGGUGCUCGAAGGUUAAUUGAUGGGGUUAGCAUUAGCGAAGCUCUUGAUCGAAGCCCGAGUAAACGGCGGCCGUAACUAUAACGGUCCUAAGGUAGCGAAAUUCCUUGUCGGUUAAAUACCGACCUGCAUGAAUGGCGUAACGAGAUGGGAGCUGUCUCAAAGAGGGAUCCAGUGAAAUUGUAGUGGAGGUGAAAAUUCCUCCUACCCGCGGCAAGACGGAGAGACCCCGUGGACCU
rnacentral:rRNA from 1 species